rnacentral:lncRNA from 1 species
UGUUUCUCCCAAAAAUCUCUAUCCCCUUCGAGUACAGUUCUUUCUCUAGGGGUCUCCAUUCAGGUAUAUUUUUCGAGUAGGAUGCUUGCUUCACAGUUUCCAUUUUAGUGUCUUCUCCUUCAUUCCUGGCAUUGUCCCCAGCUUUAUGCAAAGAAGCACCAUUAUUAUUGCCAGACUGAUCUGGUGCUUGUGACUGUGGUAACAUUGUCCCCAGCCUUAUGCAAAGAAGCACCAUUACUAUUGCCAGACUGAUCUGGUGCUUGUGACUGAGGUACAUGAUCUUUGGCGAUAAUAGACGUCUCAUUGCUGUCAUAUCCAUCUUCUGCUGCCACA